GACGUAGGGCGCGAGCGUUGUCCGGAUUUAUUGGGCGUAAAGAGCUCGUAGGCGGCUCGUUGCGUCGGCUGUGAAAACCCGCAGCUCAACUGUGGGCUUGCAGCUGAUACGGGCGGGCUGGGAUUCGGUAGGGGAGACUGGAAUUCCUGGUGUAGCGGUGAAAUGCGCAGAUAUCAGGAGGAACACCGGUGGCGAAGGCGGUUCUCUGGGCAUUACCUGACGCUGGAGGAGCGAAAGCGUGGGGAGCGAACAGG
rnacentral:rRNA from 1 species